rnacentral:rRNA from 1 species
UGCAGUCGUGGGAGAAGCCACCUUCGGGAGGCGAGUACACCGGCGGACGGGUGCGUAACACGUGAGCAACUUGCCCGACAGAGGGGGAUAACUCGGGGAAACCCGGGCUAAUACCCCAUGAUGUGGUUACCUCGCAUGAGGAAGCCACCAAAGGGGGCGAUCCUUCGGGAGCUCUCAUUGUCGGAUAGGCUCGCGGCCUAUCAGCUUGUUGGUAGGGUAAUGGCCUACCAAGGCGAUGACGGGUAGCUGGUCUGAGAGGAUGAUCAGCCACACGGGGACUGAGACACGGCCCCGACUCCUACGGGAGGCAGCAGUGGGGAAUUUUGGACAAUGGGCGAAAGCCUGAUCCAGCGACGCCGCGUGCGGGAGGAAGCCCCUAGGGGUGUAAACCGCUGUCAGGGGGGAAGAACGGGUCCGGACGAAUAAUCCGGAUCUCUGACGGUACCUCCAGAGGAAGCGCCGGCUAACUCCGUGCCAGCAGCCGCGGUAAUACGGAGGGCGCAAGCGUUGUCCGGAAUUACUGGGCGUAAAGGGGGCGCAGGCGGCUUGGUAAGUCCUAUGUGAAAGCCCGCAGCUCAACUGCGGAAAGCCAUAGGAUACUGCCGAGCUUGAGACGGGUAGAGGCGAGUGGAAUUCCCGGUGUAGCGGUGGAAUGCGUAGAUAUCGGGAAGAACACCAGUGGCGAAGGCGGCUCGCUGGGCCCGUUCUGACGCUCAGGCCCGAAAGCGUGGGGAGCAAACAGGAUUAGAUACCCUGGUAGUCCACGCCGUAAACGAUGGGCACUA